UUGCUCUAAUAUAUUUAAAUCCAUACAUUUUGAUAGUGAAAGGGUUCAAGGUGUAGGUGCAAAGAAGCCUGAACAUAAUAGGUUAAUGACACCAGCUCUGAGGUACAAAAUCAGUUGCUUGAGAGUGCAAGUCUCUAAACCAUUAAUUCUAAUUCUGCAGUCCAUUCUAAUUCUACAGUCAACCAUUCUACAGACCAUUCUACAGAAUUCUACAGAAACCAUUCUAAUUCUACAGUCAACCUUGGGAGCUGCUGUGAGGCUCUUUGGGUAAAGCCAAUCACUUUUUCAAUCACCAAAAGGAUUUUUCAGAAGCACUCUAGAACAUAUAAAUGAGGGAAAAGACUUGGUGAUUCAAAUUGGAUUGAAGAGAUGUCACCCCUACAGAAGAAAUGACCAGAGCUUGAGAGUCUUCCUAUGGCUAUGACUAAGUCCAACAAGAGCUAGCUUCAUAUCUUCUGCUGAUUCAGAAUACAUACUUGGACAUUGAUUUUAUUUCUGAACUUCUUCUUGCUUCUUACUCCUCAAGAUAAAGUUCUCCACAGGGACAGAACCAAUGGGAUAUAUGUAUAUAUUAAAGGGAGAUUAUUAGUGAGAAUUGGCUCAUGUGAUUACAAGGCGAAGUCCCAUAAUCGACUGUCUGCAAGUUGGGGAAAGAAAAGAGUGGCUCACUCCAAGUCCAAAUGCUUCAAAACCAGGGAAGCCAACAGCACAACCUUUAGUCUGCUGCUGAAGGCCCAAGAGCCUAGGGAAGCCACUAGUGCAAGUCGCAGAGUCCAAAGACUGAAGAACCUGGAGUCUGAUGUUCAAGGGCAGGAGAAGUGGAAGCAAGCAUCCACCAUGGGAAAAGGAAGGAAGCCAGGAGACUUGGCAAGCAAUACUAUCCCAUCUUCUUCCACCUGCUCUGUUCUAGCUGGCUGGCGACCCAUUGGAUGAUGCCCACCCACGUUGAGGGUGGGUCUUCUUCUCCCAGUCCACCACCUCAAAUGUCAAUAUUCUCUGGCAUGGUCUCACAUACACACCCAGAAACAACACAUUGCCAACCAUCUAGGCAUCCCUCAGUUCAAUCAAGUUGACACUUAAUAUUAAACGUCACACCAAUUUACCUGAUAUUUGUAAGCCUACUUUUUGGAAUACUUAUUUUGUUCUCUUGAGCUAUGUAAUUAUUUUUAAGCCAACACCUCAUUAUUUUG